CAGGGUAUGGGCAAGUUGGUUAAGUCUCUCGGUUUGGAACCGAGAGAACGCAGGUUCGAAACCUGCUAUCCUGACCA
rnacentral:tRNA from 1 species